GACGAGCCACACAAACGUUAUUCGGAAUUACUGGGCUUACAGGGUGCGUAGGCUGUGCAGCAAGUGGGGUGUGAAAUCCAACGGCUUAACCGUUGAACUGCGCUCCAAACUGCUGUGCUCGAGGGAGAUAGAGGUAAGCGGAACUUACGGUGGAGCGGUGAAAUGCGUUGAUAUCGUAAGGAACACCGGUGGCGAAAGCGGCUUACUGGAUCUCUUCUGACGCUGAGGCACGAAAGCUAGGGUAGCGAACGGG
rnacentral:rRNA from 1 species